rnacentral:rRNA from 1 species
GAUUUCUGGUUUAAUGCACCUGGUCCGCGGCCACUAGGCUUGUGAGUGCCGGCGCGCGUUUACCAUCCUUCUAGAAAACCUUUCUGCCAUUAACUUGGUUGGGAAUGCGAUCUAGAUCUUUUACUUUGAAAAAAUUAGAGUGCUUAAAGCAGGCUUUUGCUAUGAAUACAUUAGCAUGGAAUAAUUUCUAUUUUGUUGGUUUCAAAAAAUGAAGUAAUGAUUCUAGUAUUGGCCGGCCAGAGGUGAAAUUCUUGGAUUCGGUCAAGACUAAUUUAUGCGAAAGCAUU